rnacentral:lncRNA from 1 species
CAUGAUACAAUCCUUCUAUCAUGAGUUUUGAUUAGACAGAGGUUAUAGAAUUACUCAUCAAACCUUAUUAUCUAUCACAUAUUUAAUUUAUUCAACUCGAGUUUCUAAUGUGAAAAUGAUAGAAAUUUUUUUUCACUAUUUACACUGUCCUGGCUAAGAUCUUCUGAACUCAGUCUCAAAAAUCACAUAAGACCAAUUUACUUAUCUACCAAGGGUGAUAAAUUCUAUAUAGGUGCACACUCUAUUCCUAUAAUGAACCUACUGC